UACGGGGGGGGCAAGCGUUGUUCGGAAUUACUGGGCGUAAAGGGUUCGUAGGUGGCCUACUAAGUCAUACGUGAAAUCCCUCAGCUUAACUGGGGAACUGCGUCUGAGACUGGAAGGCUUGAGUGCAGGAGAGGAACGCGGAAUUCCAGGUGUAGCGGUGAAAUGCGUAGAUAUCUGGAGGAACACCGGUGGCGAAGGCGGCGUUCUGGGCUGGUACUGACGCUGAGACGCGAAAGCCAGGGGAGCAAACGGG
rnacentral:rRNA from 1 species